UUGGAGCGAGCCGUGCGAGGACGUAGGGAAGGAUCGGCUCCCCGAUUCACGAGAUCACGAGGAGGGUUUGUCUGGAGUGGAGAGCGAGGGCAAGGGAGGGAGAAAGCAGUCAAAGUUAAGCAGAAGAGGAAGCGUUCUGUGUUUCUCUGCUGUCCCGGCUCCUUUAACUUCAGCCUGCCUGCUGCCCUGUGUCCCCCUCAGCUGGUCUGGCCUUCUCCUCCUGUGCCCCUCAAGGGACAGAGAAAUAUUCAGAUGUGACCCUGGGACCCUCUAAAGAUGAAGAAGAGGACAGCCUCCAGCAUAUACCCCCAUGGCAAUGCAUUCUGAGGUCCACACAUGGAAGGCAGAGAGAGCUGGCCUGGAAGUGUCAGGGGGACUGGGGCCGUGCGGGAGGGAGGCUGCCCUGACCAGCCUGCCACAGUCCUUUGGCAAGUAGACCCUGGACGAAUCCAGCCAUCACUUUGGCUGAGCUUCUUUCUUCCCAUUCUGUCCUUUCCCCUGCAUCUUGUCGACUGUCAGGAUCGGGCUGUGCUACGAUUAGUAGUCUUUAAAGUAUGACUGUCUUUGCUGGCAUUUAAAGUUGAAGAAAUUAGGUGAAAAAUCACAAGUGAGUUCUUCCCUUUCUCUGUGGAGCCGAGAGGGACCUUGGAAGCCACCCGAUUGAGCCUCCGUAUUUUAAAGAGGAGGAACCUUCGGCACGAGGGGCUUGCUGGGGUCGCAUGGGUUGCCUCACGGAGUGUGAGCUGUACCGGGCAUCUUAGAUUACAGGAGGGGGGUGCCUGCCCCCUAGCAGGGGGGACGUUUCCUCGGCUCCUACAGACUGACUGCCUGUGGGCUCCUGGGCUCAGCCAGAUUAAGGCAGCAUCUCCAUUAGGUCCUGAGCAAGUGUGACGCUUCUCAGUACUUCAUGUGCACUUUGGGUUUUAAAUCAGAUGAGUUUGGAAAGCAGGCAGGGCCGGCUUCACGGGUGUGCCACCCCCUCAGGAGGAGCCCACCCCUGGCUUAAUGCUCCGCUGUGACCAGCUUGGAAUUCUUAAUAAUUUUGGAACAAGGGGCCUCCACGUUUUCCUUUUGCACUGGGCUCUGCAAAUUAUCUAACUGGUCCUAAAUGUGGGACAGUGCCUUAAAAUGCCAGUGAUUUGAUCAAUCUGCUCCUGUAACUGAUUUGAAUUUUGAGAACAUGCUGUUCCCGUUGAAUAAAGGAGGAUUUCUUUCUUUUCCCUCGAAUAUACUGUGUUUUGUUUUCCCAAUUAGCCCUGCUUACCAGCUUUGUUGAGAAUUUGGAGAGCGCGAUUGUUCUUGCUGGAAGGGAAGGUUGCGUUGUUAAUCCUGAAUCCUGGCUCUGAGUCCUCAGGCCUGGAAGUGGGAAGUGUGUCCCCACAACUGCAGGAGCUGCGGGGGACUGGAGGCUGGGUGAAGGGCUGGGACCUGGAAGGGAGGCCACAGAGGCAGAGCAAAGAGUCCAGCUGGGGAGCCAGACAGAUGUCUCCCGCCUCUGCCGCUCGCCAGCUCUGAAGCUUGGAGCAUCGUGCUUGACUUCUCUGAUCCUCUGUUUGUUUCCCUAUCUCUGUAGACUGGAGGUAAGAUCCUCCCUGCAGGUUUGCAGGAGUGGAGAGUGUGCAUUAAGGAAUCUUGGGAGAUAGAGCUGGGGACUCAAAGCCACGUGAUGGAGGGAGUUGUAGAUGAGACAGGAGAUGGGGAUGUCCUUGGGGGUCCUGCGGUAAGUUCAUGCACCCCAAGUGGCAAUUACUCAGGGGAGACACCGAAAAUGGGCCAGGCCUGCCCGAAUUAGAAUGUAGAAGUGGGAUUCUUAGAAGUUUCAGAAGUGUGGGAGGAGACUUUUGGAGGUGUUGUGAUGUACCGGGGAGGCUGAGCGCAGGGCUGAGAACUGGGAGGUGAUAACCCAGCUCGUGGCCUCGAGACGAGCGUGGGGUUUAGUGCUUUUUGUGCUUUUCUCAUUCAGGACUCCCAACUCCCAGAAGUCGUGGUAUUAUCUCCAUGUUGCAGGAGGGGAGACUGAGGCUUGGACAGGGAGAGCCGCUGCCUGAAGCGACACAGCUGUGAGGGGCAGAGAGUCAGGACUGGAGGCCAGGUCUGCUCUGGAGUCACUCUGGCAUUAACGAGGAGGCUUGCGACCUUACCCAGCCUUGCUGACCCUGCUAGGAAUG